rnacentral:misc_RNA from 1 species
CGGCAUUUUCACCUACCCAACCCACCCCCUGCAACCUGUCAAGGAGUAAGAAUUUAUGAACACCAAACUCAAUACCAACCGUGCGGCCUUAGUCACCAAGAAUGACUAAGCCUCUCCAAAUAAUUAGCCUACAAGGUAGACUAAUAAGGGUGACAAAAAUAAAGUAAAAUGUGAAGGUAUAAAAGGAAAUAAAGGAUAAUAAGUGGGAAGAGUUUCACAAAGGGAAGGAAAUUUUAUAACUCAAUAAGAAUAGAGCUUUACAAGAGAGCACCUAUACAAG